ACAGACUGCUAGAAAACGGAACUGACCAGGAGAUGCCUGCCACACACGGCCUUUGUCUUUCUGAGAGAACUGAUGGGAGGCCGCACAAGCUACUCAGGAAGCUGAGGAUGGAACCCGGGACCUUUCCCUUCGUGGGCUGGGCAAGUGCCUUCCUCAGCUUCUGGGAUUUUCUCCAGACAGUGAAGCCCCAGGUGAAGAGAGAACUCGCUGGGGCUCCCUGAGAUUUAUGGUGCGUCUGUGAUGAAAGGCUACCCCGGCCGGGCACCUCACCUGUGUGGGUGUUCACAUGGUUCCUAAGAAGAGUGACAGUCCGGAAGGCCUUCAGGCACAGGUGACACAGGUGUGGCCUCUCAUUGCUGUGAAUUUUGAUGUGACGAUUGAAAGUUGAGAGCUUGGAGGAAGUGAACGGGCAGGUGUCACACUGAAAGCUCUGAGGCUUUCCUGUAGAGAGAAGACACACACCAGUGUAGCUGGAAAGAUCGUCCCUUGAGCAGCCCCUCAGAGGCCGACGUGACUUCCUUAGCUUAGUGCUGUUGAGGAUUAUGAGAUGUCUCAAAACCUCGGGACACUCUGUUUUUGAUGAAGAACACCUUGUUAAGAAGUACCCAGCUUCUGUUUCCUGCCACAGAACUGUCCAGGUCCCUAACCCACCCUCUCUGUUGUUAACAAUAGACAACAGUGCCCUCCCACCCCCCACAACACCGGGAACUGCAGUUCCAGGGGGGUCUGAUGCCCUCUUCUGGCCACUAUGGGAACUGCACACAGGUUGUGCACAGAAAUACAUACAUUCUUUUGUUUGUUUGUUUGUUUUUGUUUUUCCAGGACAGCCAAAGCUACAGAGAGAAAUUCUGUCUUGAAAAUCAAGAAACAAACAAACAAACCAAUCAGUCUUAAUAAACUGUCAUUUACAGUGUGGUAUAGAUCAAGGAAGUCAGAAGACAAAGUCUUCUCCAAGCAGGGAGUCCCAGAAGCAAGUCUCCCAUAAACAUGGACCCAAGUGGGUACCCAAGUUCUCUGUUGUUGUUAAAAUGAAGACCCCCCAGCCCCCAAUGCCUUCCCAGAAUCCUCCACCCAAGCCAGGGGAGCUCUGGGAAACUGGCAUGAAGCUGAACAAAGCCACAGCCCACAGCCACAAGUGACUAUUUAAAUUUGUAUC
rnacentral:lncRNA from 1 species